UUCAAGUUAGUAUUCUUAGUGAUUUCUCAUUAGUUUUAAAGUUUGAAACUCUAACUUUUGCAGCAGAAAUAUGAGAGAAUCAAUUUUUAUAAAGAUUUUAAUUUUAAUAGGCUUCGUUUCGUGUAAUUGUAACUAUACUUGUGAUUAUAGUUUCGGAGAUUCGUCUUGGAACUAUUCUAAAGUGUUUCAUAAUGAAGACCAUAUCAUUGCUCGUGGAACAACUUUUUAUUAUAUUAAUUUAUGCGAAAAGCCACAUAAUAUGAUAAGCUUCGUCUGUGUCAACUUGACCCGAGUCGACCUUCACACGACGAAAGUGGGGUUUGCGAGCUUGUUCAGACGGAUCGCCAUACAAUUUGAGGAACCCUACCCCUAUGACGUCAUAGCUCACGUACUGGCGAUGCACCAUGGCUACUAAAUAAUAAAUCUU